rnacentral:rRNA from 1 species
CUGGUUGAUCCUGCCAGUAGUCAUAUGCUUGUCUCAAAGACUAAGCCAUGCAUGUCUAAGUAUAAAUGUUAUACAGUGAAACUGCGAAUGGCUCAUUAAAACAGUUAUAGUUUAUUUGAUAAUCGAAUUUACAUGGAUAACCGUGGUAAUUCUAGAGCUAAUACAUGCUGGUUAGCCUGACUUCGAGGAAGGGCUGUAUUUAUUAGAUAACAAACCAAUAUUCUUCGUGUCUAUUGUGAUGACUCAUAAUAACUGAUCGAAUCGCAUGGUCCUUGACCGCGAUAAAUCAUUCAAGUUUCUGCCCCAUCAGCUUUCGAUGGUAGUGUAUUGGACUACCAUGGCUUUAACGGGUAACGGAGGAUUAGGGUUCGAUUCCGGAGAGGGAGCCUGAGAAACGGCUACCACAUCUAAGGAAGGCAGCAGGCGCGUAAAUUACCCAAUCCUGACUCAGGGAGGUAGUGACAAGAAAUAACGGACCGAGGCUUUGCUUCGGGAUUGCAAUGAGUAGAAUUUAAACCCCUUUACGAGGAUCCAUUGGAGGGCAAGUCU